rnacentral:rRNA from 1 species
GACGAACGCUGGCGGCGUGCCUAACACAUGCAAGUCGAACGGAGAUACAUUGUAGCAAUACGAUGUAUCUUAGUGGCGGACGGGUGAGUAACGCGUGAGCAACCUACCUUACAGAGGGGGAUAACACGCCGAAAGGUGUGCUAAUACCGCAUGACAUGUGGGGAUGGCAUCAUCCUUACAUCAAAGAUUUUAUCGCUGUAAGAUGGGCUCGCGUCCGAUUAGAUAGUUGGCGGGGUAAUGGCCCACCAAGUCGACGAUCGGUAGCCGGACUGAGAGGUUGAACGGCCACAUUGGGACUGAGACACGGCCCAGACUCCUACGGGAGGCAGCAGUGGGGAAUAUUGCGCAAUGGGGGAAACCCUGACGCAGCAACGCCGCGUGAAGGAAGAAGGCCUCGGUUGUAACUUUGUCUUGUGACGAUAAUGACGGUAGCCAGAGAGGAAGACCACGGCUAACUACGUGCCAGCAGCCGCGGUAAUGCUACGU